CGCCUAUCAGGUAGUAGUGGGUGCAAUGUACCUACUAGCCUACAACGGGUACGGGUUGUGAGAGCAAGAGCCCGGAGAUGGAUUCUGAGACAUGAAUCCAGGCCCUACGGGGCGCAGCAGGCGCGAAAACUUUACAAUGCGGGAAACCGUGAUAAGGGGACACCGAGUGCUAGCAUCAUAUGCUGGCUGUCCAGGUGUGUAAAAUACACCUGUUAGCAAGGGCCGGGCA
rnacentral:rRNA from 1 species